rnacentral:lncRNA from 1 species
AAAUAUUUACCUCCCUAUGAUUCUGGCUGAGGACAAAUCCAAAAUGCCUUGCACAUUUUAUUUCAUGUUCUUCAUCCAUUCAUGUACUUAAUUCUCACAUGUUUUUUUUAUUUUUCUUCCACUUUAAAAAUUAAUAAAUAAAUGAUAAAUCAUCCAAAAAAUGUGUGGAUUUUUGCAUUGUUCUCCUUAUUGUUUCUAGUUUUUUUUCAUUAUUUUUCCAGAAAUUGUGCAUGGAUGGAAAAU